GCUGUUAGAAAGUAGGCCAUUCCUGCACAGUAUCAAAAGCUCCUAAAAAGGCAUGCAAAAGUGAAUGAGCUGCAAGAAUGUACAGGAACAUUUUACAUGCCUUCAGAAUAGCUGGGCCCUGAAAAAUCUCUGGCCCUGAAAAAAAAAAAAAUGUAAAGAAAUGCACACAAACACCAGGAAACAGAAAACCACGAACUUGAGAAGUCGUGCAGUUUUGCAUCUACCGAGCUCGAACAGGCGCUGGAUGUGUUGUUUGAAAAGCCAGCGGUGAAAUACGGUCAGACACAGCCAGCCUGAAGCUGAUCACACUGAUGUACUGAGAUAAGUGGAUGCAGCAUGAGAGUAUCAUGGAUGAAGAUUUACAGCAGGAGGAGCGAGCUAAAAGUCUGAGGAUUGCAACAAAGACGACUGGAGAUGGUGCCAUGCUUAAAAGAAAGGGUGACAUUUGAAGCUGCCAGCAGAGAUGGAUGUGGCGUUUGUGUGGCUGGCCAGGUCAUCCAGAGUGCAACAUGUGGCCUAGAGGAACAAGAAACCAGCGAUAGAUAGAGAGAGAGAGAGAGAGAGAGAGAGAGAAAAGACAUUCUAAUCCCAC
ensembl:lncRNA